UUCAAACCCCCACUUUCUCACUUUCUCUCUAGUUUAGACGAACUUCGGUUGCUGCAUCGCCGAUGUCCACAUCCUUGCUCCGUCAAGUUGCAACCGCGCCGCUCCAGCCUUCACGUCAUCGGAUCUGCUCGUCGUUGGUCCUCCUCUGUUCCAGUCGUUGUCCUCUGUCGAACGUCAUCGUGAGAUACGUAGUUUUGGGAUAAGAUCUAAAUGAUUUUCAUGGUUUUGUUGAGGAUCUUAAAUACCCAAUAAAUAACGUGUUUAAUUAUCAUUUCAAUCGUGAUUUUGGAGGUUGAAUUUGAAAGUUUGAAGGAGUUUAAAAGGUCGUUAGCGUGUUGUCAAGCAGAGUUAAGGUGAUUUCGGCAAGAAUUUUGGAUUUAAUUCAAAGAUUGUGGAGAUUAGAAGGGGUUAGUUGCUCAAAUAUUUGGCUCGAUUAAGGAUUCAAGAAUUUCACAAAGAUUCAAUUGCUUUUUUGUUCAACAUAAUAUCAAAGUAAAGGCAAGGACGCACUGGCGAAUGACAAGAGAAAUCCUUAAACGAGCCACUCAGGACCAGUUUUAUGCUUUUGCACAUGAUAUUUAGAUUUCUUUCCAUGCUUUUCAACUUUCAAUUUGAUGUUUAAAACUUACUAUUAAGAUAUGUUUUUAGACCUAUUUAUUAUCAUUUAUG